GGUCAACAACAUGAUAUAUUACUAUUAGAAUGAAAGGCAUCUGGUGAAAGUCAACAACAUGAUAUAUUACUAUUAGAAUGAAAGGCAUCUGGUGAAGGUCAACAACAUGAUAUAUUACUAUUAGAAUGAAAGGCUGGGCAUCUGGUGAAGGUCAACAACAUGAUAUAUUACUAUUAGAAUGAAAGGCAUCUGGUGAAGGUCAACAACAUGAUAUAUUACUAUUAGAAUGAAAGGCUGGGCACACUUUUUUUAGUGUGGAAAAAGUACAGAAGUUUCGGUAUACCACUAUUAUAUACUAACCUCUGGUGUAAAUGGGACACGGGCACAGAAGGAGCAAAGGAGACAAGACCAAAAAAGGCAACAUGAAAAACAAGCUCUUAAAAAAUAUAAAAAAGAUUUGGAAUUUGAUAUAUCGCACAGCCCUAGGUACAGAGAGUAAGUAGUCAUUCAAAAAGCAUGAUAAACACCAUUAUUGCACACAGAGUGAUUCUAUUAAACUUAUGUGACUUAUUAAGGACAGUUUUUACUCCUGAACUUAUUUUGGCUGGCCAAUAACAAAGAGGUUGAAUACUUAUUGACUCAGGACAUGUAAGCUAUUCAUUUGUAAAAAAAAAAAAAAAAUUUAAAAAUUCACUGUGGGGUAUUGUGUGUCGGCCAGUGACACAAAAUCUCACGCAAAUCAAUUUUCUAAGUCAGGCUGUAACACAUCAAAAUGUGGGAAAAAGUCAAGGGGGUUGUGAGUAUUUUCUGAAGGCACUAUUUAUUCUCCAAGAAUCAAUGGCUAUAU
ensembl:lncRNA